UACGUAGGGGGCAAGCGUUAUCCGGAUUUACUGGGUGUAAAGGGAGCGUAGACGGCCAGACAAGUCUGAAGUGAAAAUCCAGCGCUUAACGUUGGAAGUGCUUUGGAAACUGCCGGGCCAGAGUGCAGGAGGGGCAGGCGGAAUUCCUAGUGUAGCGGUGAAAUGCGUAGAUAUUAGGAGGAACACCAGUGGCGAAGGCGGCCUGCUGGACUGCAACUGACGUUGAGGCUCGAAGGCGUGGGGGGCAAACAGG
rnacentral:rRNA from 1 species